GGAUUGAUGAAGAGGAAAAGUUUAUCUUUAUUUUUAUGUUAUGCUGAUUUGUCCCUCUUGAUGCUAUACUUCUUAGAUGUGGUUCUGAAGGAAAAGGAAAAAUAAUUUGUGGCUUGAAGCAGUAAUUCUUCUAUAAUGUUUGUAUCAUUGUGUUCGUGUGCCCGUCUGUGUUUUUGUUUUAUAAAAAAUAUAUACUAGCUUCACUAGGCAAAAUCAAUAUUGUACUUGUUUGUUCAAGAUAUUAUUAGACAGAAAUGGAAAUUUUGAAGUCUCGAAACAUAGAUUACGAAAUAUGUCCACUCGAAAUUAUAAUUAGAUAUAGCCAAAAACUUCAUGUAAUUAAAACUCUUGAAAAUUUUUAAGAAGCUUGAAAGCGAUAUGUACAAGGUCGUGUGUGGUCAAUGUGAGACUUGGUUCAAAUAUGUUCAGUUAGUUUUAUUUUGCCGUCUUAGAAUUACUAUGACCUUGUGAUAUGACUAUUGUGGAAAUAUACUGUCAAAGGUAUGCUAUGGACGUCAAUGUAGAGAGGGCUGAAGAUGUUCUCAUGCACAAAAAUCUUCUCUAUAUGGCACAUGAUCCUGCUACUCGACCUGCAAUUGACGUCCGUCUCGUACAGGUUCAUUCAUCUCCUGGCAGGAACUUUGGCAAAGUCAGUUAAUUGGAGCUUGAAGGAAAAAGUGGACCAGGAGCGGUUUUCUGGUUAUGACAGCAAUCAGAGGCAGGGUUAAGUGAAGAUUUGAACUUAGCUGUAUAUUUGGGAUUUCAAGGAUAUUAUAACUACAAUUUUUUAUUUUAAUUUUUCUCCAUAUAUAAGCAGACACCACCCCCCACCAGCAUUUGGUUCA